GACACAGAGCACAUAAUUCUCUUACUGCCUGUGUGAGCAGGGACUGUGGUUUCCUCUUCACAGAUCAACCCCUAGCACCUGACACAAAGUAGGAGCUUUUAACUGAAUGAGCGACUGCAGAUGAGUCGUUUCUGAAAGUGGGUAUCAGAUGCGUGGUUUAGUGAACUGUCGGGUACUGGAUGCAGAGAUUAGGACGGAAGGUGACCACGGAACACUCCCCCAGGCCUCUCAGGUCAGAUAGUGGCUUUUUAAAACACCUUUAAUUUUAGAUUUGUCCUUGUCCUAUUUAAAUGUAAACCAUAAACUUUUUACUGUUAAAAGCAGAAGUUCAAAAACAUGAUGAAGGAAUCGUAUUAAGAUUAUAAAUGAAGAUGAACUUGUGAAACACUCAUUUUAACUCUUUUUAGUACUUCUUUCUAAACCACUCUACUUCUCCCGUCUUAGCAAUCAUUUAAUCAUCUCUUGAUGACUCAGGUCAUCAUUUGUCACUGACAGUCACUGAUAGGAUGUAAAUGAUCUGAUACACUGAUCUUAACUGGCACUGAAUUUGAUAAAUGUAUGGUUUUUCUUGUCUUUAUUAAUUUGUAUAUUUCCUGUCAAAUGAAAAAUAUAUAUGUGAAAUUAAUGAAUGAAGAAAAUUGAAAGAGCCACUCCUUAGGUUUUUUUUCCCUGCCCGCAGUA
rnacentral:lncRNA from 1 species